rnacentral:rRNA from 1 species
GACGUAGGGGGCCAGCGUUGUUCGGAAUUACUGGGUGUAAAGGGUUCGUAGGCGGUGUGGCAAGUCGGGAGUGAAAUCUCUGGGCUCAACUCAGAGACUGCUUCCGAAACUGCUGUGCUGGAGUGUGGGAGAGGCGCGUGGAAUUGCAGGUGUAGCGGUGAAAUGCGUAGAUAUCUGCAGGAACACCCGUGGCGAAGGCGGCUCACUGGCCCGAUACUGACGCUGAGGCACGAAAGCGUGGGGAGCAAACAGG